GGCCCCAUAGUUCAAGGGAAAGAAUAGCAGUUUCCUAAACUGUAGAUCCUGGUUCGAGUCCAGGUGGGGCUA
rnacentral:tRNA from 1 species